rnacentral:rRNA from 1 species
UGGGGAAUAUUGCACAAUGGGCGCAAGCCUGAUGCAGCCAUGCCGCGUGUGUGAAGAAGGCCUUCGGGUUGUAAAGCACUUUCAGCGAGGAGGAAGGUGGUGGACUUAAUACGUUCAUCAAUUGACGUUACUCGCAGAAGAAGCACCGGCUAACUCCGUGCCAGCAGCCGCGGUAAUACGGAGGGUGCAAGCGUUAAUCGGAAUUACUGGGCGUAAAGCGCACGCAGGCGGUUUGUUAAGUCAGAUGUGAAAUCCCCGGGCUCAACCUGGGAACUGCAUUUGAAACUGGCAAGCUAGAGUCUCGUAGAGGGGGGUAGAAUUCCAGGUGUAGCGGUGAAAUGCGUAGAGAUCUGGAGGAAUACCGGUGGCGAAGGCGGCCCCCCUGGACGAAGACUGACGCUCAGGUGCGAAAGCGUGGGGAGCAAACAGGAUUAGAUACCCCU